GUGGGUUCUACCCGAAGCCGGUCGCUAACCCCAGGAGGCAGCCACCACGGUAGGGUUCGCGACUGGGGUGAAGUCGUAACAAGGUAGCCGUAGGUGAACCUGCAGAAGGAUCA
rnacentral:rRNA from 1 species